GCGAGCAUAGUUUAGUGGUAAAACAUAAGCUUCCCAAGCUUAGGUUGCGGGUUCGAUUCCCGUUGCUCGCUCCA
rnacentral:tRNA from 1 species